rnacentral:piRNA from 1 species
UGCUGCCUGUGUCGUGUCUUUCUGAGGA